rnacentral:ncRNA from 2 species
AGUCUGAAACUGAGGGAAGCACGGUGAAAAUCCGUCACAGCAGUCACUACCGUAAAGUCGGAUCGCUCGUCAGACA